UCUAAAAUGGCAGAUGGAUGUAUAGGAUUUAAGCUCCUACAAGGAAGGUUUCUUCUUUUAGAA
rnacentral:tRNA from 4 species